rnacentral:rRNA from 1 species
UGGAAUUGAUUAUCGGGAGUCAGACUAUACGAGAUAAGUUGGAUAGUCAAAAGGGAAAGAGCCCAGACCUCCAGCUAAGGUCCCAAAAGUACGUGUUAAGUGGAAAAGGAUGUGGGAUUUCGAAGACAACCAGGAUGUUGGCUCAGAAGCAGCCAUACAUUCAAAGAGUGCGUAAUAGCUCACUGGUCGAGAGGUCCUGCGCCGAAAAUGUCCGGGGCUAAAACACGACACCGAAGCUGAGGAAUGUAGUAAUACAUUGGUAGAGGAGCAUUGAAUACGGGAAGAAGCAGUACCGAAAGGAGCUGUGGACUGUAUUGAAGAGAGAAUGCCGGAAUGAGUAGCGAGAAUAAGGUGAGAAUCCUUAUGGCCGAAUAUCUAAGGUUUCCAGGGUAAAGCUGAUCUGCCCUGGGUAA